rnacentral:rRNA from 1 species
GACGAACGCUGGCGGCGUGCUUAACACAUGCAAGUCGAACGGAAAGGCCCUGCUUUUGUGGGGUGCUCGAGUGGCGAACGGGUGAGUAACACGUGAGUAACCUGCCCUUGACUUUGGGAUAACUUCAGGAAAAUGGGGCUAAUACCGGAUAGGAGCUCCUGCUGCAUGGUGGGGGUUGGAAAGUUUCGGCGGUUGGGGAUGGACUCGCGGCUUAUCAGCUUGUUGGUGGGGUAGUGGCUUACCAAGGCUUUGACGGGUAGCCGGCCUGAGAGGGUGACCGGCCACAUUGGGACUGAGGUACGGCCCAGACUCCUACGGUAGGCAGCAGUGGGGAAUAUUGCACAAUGGGCGGAAGCCUGAUGCAGCAACGCCGCGUGCGGGAUGACGGCCUUCGAGUUGUAAACCGCUUUCGCCUGUGACGAAGCGUGAUUGACGGUAAUGGGUAAAGAAGCACCGGCUAACUACGUG